UCCACCACCACCACCCGGGCCGGACCCCGCUGCCACCGCCCAGGCCGGACCACUCCGCCGGCUUUUUCAGCAUUGGACUCCCACCGGAUUUGAAAGUUAUUCUCAUCGAUAAAACCCCCUUUUUCCCAUUCAAGAUUCCAAAGCCACCGAGAGAUCUGAGAAACACCACCGCUGAACCCCGCUGACGACGAGCGGCGCUGCUCCUCCGCCCCAGUUUGGAAAGUUAUUGUUUUCUAUCUCUUCUGCCACCGCCACAGUGUUCAAGUGUAAGUUUGUUUGAUUUGGAAGUUGAAGGAAAGUUUGUGGAUCAUGUAUGUUGUGUGUGUUGCUGGGUGAUCACUCGUAGACAGUGGAUGGGCAGUGACUGGGUGCUUUCAGAUUGAAUGGGAAAGGGAGCUCGAGAAAGGGGGGUUUGGAUCGUGUGUGUUUUGCAUAAUUUCAUUUGGUGUAAUGUGCUGAUGUGUCUUUUUUCUAUUAGAGGGCGUAAAGGGCCUGGUUUAUGCCAAGUCCACACAGAAUCCGACAUUCCGACUAGAAAGUCACCGACCCAUUUUACAACGACGACGACGACGACAACCUCAUCAGGAAGUUAAUUCGAACGCUUAUUCAAAUCCAAACCCUCGACUGAGUGAAAGUCGGCAAGAAAGAAACAAAGAAAUCGAAAGAAAAUUCCCAAAUUCGAACAGAAAAUCUUCCAAGUGGCCAAUCGUCAAAAACCUAGCUUGCAUAGGAAUUUCAUUGAUAUUGAGCAAUGGCGGUGGCUUCAACUUCGGGACCCAAGUCCCUUAAAGAAUAUCUAAAACGAUAUGAGAGCAAUGCUGAAGAAGAGCAGAAAAAGAAGAAGAAGAGGAAAAAGAUGGUUGAAAGUAAAACCGAUGCAAGGGGCGUUUUAGUUGUGGAUGAAGAUCCAGUUUGGCAUAAACCAGUAAAUCUUGAAGAGGAAAACGAUGAUUCAGCUGAUGAAGAGAAGCCACAAGUUGAUGAGGACAUUGAGGUUAAGCGGAUGAGGAGGCUCGAACAACUGAGGGCCAGGCGUCCAUAUAAUGCCAUAUCAGAUGAUGGAAGUGGUUGGGUUCCACUCUCUCCUAAAUGUGGGAAAUCUGGUGACCCAUAUUCUGAUAUGUCACCACCUCGUAAACAAAGGGUUCGGAAUGACACCCCUUCACCAGAACCUGAACUGAAGCCUUCAGAUUCUGGCAGAGAUAACACCAAUUUGUCACCUCCAUGGCAGCGGCGGAAACACCACCAUACUCCAUCACCUGAACGCGAUACGAAGCGUGCAUAUUCCAAUGACCUGAACUCUGAUAUGUCUCCACCUCGCAAAUGGAGGGUUCGGAAUGACACACCUUCAUCAGAACGUGGAGUGAGGCCUUUAGAAUCUGACAAAGUAGAUACUGAUUUGUCACCUCCACGGCAGCAGCAGAAACGUCACCAUACACCAUCACCAUCACCUGACAUUUCUCCUCCUCGAAGGGGUCGUCGUGAUUCUCCAUAUCAAGAUGACUUCAGUGCCUCCCUGGGGUCAGACCUUUCACCCCCAAGGAAAAGCCGGAAGGAUGUUGGGAGAAAUGGGCCGCCUUAUCUUUCCCCUCCACGUAGGCAUCGAACUGAAACCAAUGCUUCAGGUACAUCUUUGCCUUCAGACCUUUCUCCACCAAGGAAAAGCCGAAAGGAAGCUGCAGUGAAAGAGCAACAAAAAACAGGUCUGGUUUCUGGUCAAGACAUCAGUGAAGAGAUUGCUAGAACUAAGAAGAAUGAUUUGUUGAGGUUUAACAAGAUGGAUCCUUCUAUAAGUGGUCGAGGAGCAGAACCUGUAUAUCGUGAUAGGAUAAAAGGAGAACGUAUAUCAAAGGAAGAAUUCCUCAAAUCAAGGCAGAAAGUAAAAGUAGAAGAGAAACCCAAGGAGGUAAAGUUGGAAUGGGGCAAGGGCUUGGCUCAAAAGCGGGAAGCUGAAGAUAGGCUGCAGGAAUUGGAACUUGAGAAGGAUAAACCAUUUGCACGAACCAGAGAUGAUCCUGAACUCGACAACAUGAUGAAAGAGAGAUUAAGAUGGGGUGAUCCCAUGGCGCAUUUGGUGAAGAAAAAGCAUCCUGAACUGAAUCUCCCGAACCUAGGGGAUAGCGAGAAAAUGAAAGAAUCAGGGUUUAUUAUUCCUCAGGACAUUCCCAAUCACAGCUGGUUAAAAAGAGGAUUGGAUGCUGCACCAAAUCGAUAUGGUAUAAGACCAGGGAGACAUUGGGACGGAGUUGACCGUAGUACUGGAUUUGAGAAGGGAUUGUUUAAAAGGACGAAUGAGAAACGAGCUACAGAAACAGAAGCAUAUCUUUGGUCUGUAUCUGAUAUGUGACUCGAAGGUAAUAGUAGACUUCCAACUUGCAGAGAUGUGGUUCCAUUCCCGCUAAUCUUUGUUGCCUGAACUGUGGAUUAGACCAGAAUUUUGUCAAUCACGUAGGUGUGAAGGCUUUGAGUGCUGGGUUAUUCUUGUGGCAGAGUUUUUGCAAAGCAAAUAUAGAUUAUAUGGCUUGUCAUUUGUGUACUUUUUUCCCGGUUAGUCUUUUCCUCCAAUGGCAUGAAACCAUAAUGAUCUUUUAGAAUGUCACAUGGCCAAAUUGAAAGAUGUAGACUUUUUGGACAAUUAACUGCUGCUCAAAAGCCGAUUUGAAUGCCGGUCAGUUAGUAUUCGGAUCGCUAUUCUUUAUGAUUUGUAUCAAUAGUGACUGAACGACGGGAUUAAAAGCCAGGAUGCUAUAUUGAUUACUGUGGAGCUUGGCAUAUACAAUGAGAAGGUGUGGAUCCUUAAGCCAUGGCUGGAUAUACUCUUUGAGGUAACAUCUGCGCCGACGUUGGUUUGCCAACGCCAGACAUGGAAACCGGCAGGGACCCGAUGACGCCCUGUUUCAGGAUCUCCUAUGCAGUUGUUAUCGGCAUUGGCCCUCAGUCAUACCAGAUACUACCAUGAACGACCAAAAUAAGUGAAGAGAAUGGGGGAUUAGCGACUUUUGGUUUAUUUCAUCAUUAUUAGCUUUGCCCGGACGCUGGUAUAAUUGAAAUUAUUAACGUAAUUAUUUUUUAGGAUAGAUUAUGAUAGGGUGCCUUCAAUCUUA